UAUUAGGUUGGUGUAAAAGUAAUUGUGGUUUUUGCCUUCGAAGGUGAUAGCAAAACCACAAUAACUUUUGCACCAGCCUACAGAAA
rnacentral:miRNA from 10 species